UUUUUUAAUUGAGGACUGGAAUGAAAGGUAGAUACUAAAAGGAUGGUUUUUUUUAAUGAUUUUGAAUUUUAUUUAAAAGUAAAAAAGCUUUUAUUAAUCCUUGGGACGAGAAGACCCUAGAAGUUUAAAAUAAAUUAUUUUUAAUUGGGGCAAUUGUUGAAGAGAUUAAUUUUUAAUUAAAGGAAAGUAAAUUAAGUAUUAAAUUACUCUAGGGAUAACAGCGUUAUUUAAUUAAUGAGUUCUUAUUAAGAAUUAAGUUUGCGACCUCGAUGUUGAAUUAAAU
rnacentral:rRNA from 1 species